AGAGUUUGAUCCUGGCUCAGAACGAACGCUGGCGGCAGGCUUAACACAUGCAAGUCGAGCGCCCCGCAAGGGGAGCGGCAGACGGGUGAGUAACGCGUGGGAAUCUACCGUACCCUACGGAAUAACGCAUGGAAACGUGUGCUAAUACCGUAUACGCCCUAACGGGGAAAGAUUUAUCGGGGUAUGAUGAGCCCGCGUUGGAUUAGCUAGUUGGUGGGGUAAAGGCCUACCAAGGCGACGAUCCAUAGCUGGUCUGAGAGGAUGAUCAGCCACAUUGGGACUGAGACACGGCCCAAACUCCUACGGGAGGCAGCAGUGGGGAAUAUUGGACAAUGGGCGCAAGCCUGAUCCAGCCAUGCCGCGUGAGUGAUGAAGGCCCUAGGGUUGUAAAGCUCUUUCACCGGAGAAGAUAAUGACGGUAUCCGGAGAAGAAGCCCCGGCUAACUUCGUGCCAGCAGCCGCGGUAAUACGAAGGGGGCUAGCGUUGUUCGGAAUUACUGGGCGUAAAGCGCACGUAGGCGGAUAUUUAAGUCAGGGGUGAAAUCCCGGAGCUCAACUCCGGAACUGCCUUUGAUACUGGGUAUCUGGAGUAUGGAAGAGGUGAGUGGAAUUCCGAGUGUAGAGGUGAAAUUCGUAGAUAUUCGGAGGAACACCAGUGGCGAAGGCGGCUCACUGGUCCAUUACUGACGCUGAGGUGCGAAAGCGUGGGGACAAACAGGAUUAGAUACCCUGGUAGUCCACGCUGUAAACGUUGGGCGCUAGGUGUGGGGACCUUCCACGGUUUCCGCGCCGUAGCUAACGCAUUAAGCGCCCCGCCUGGGGAGUACGGCCGCAAGGCUAAAACUCAAAGGAAUUGACGGGGGCCCGCACAAGCGGCGGAGCAUGUUGCUUAAUUCGACGCAACGCGAAGAACCUUACCAAGGCUUGACAUUGCCCGGAAACACUCAGAGAUGGGUGCCUCUUCGGAUCGGGUGACAGGUGGUGCAUGGCUGUCGUCAGCUCGUGUCGUGAGAUGUUGGGUUAAGUCCCGCAACGAGCGCAACCCUUGUUCAAUGUUGCCAGCACGCUCCUUCGGGGGUGGUGGGGACUCAUUGGAGACUGCCGGGGUCAACUCGGAGGAAGGUGGGGAUGACGUCAAGUCAUCAUGCCCCUUAUGUCUUGGGCUGCAAACAUGCUGCAAUGGCCGGUACAGAGGGCUGCGAUACCGCAAGGUGGAGCGAAUCCCUAAAAGCCGGUCUCAGUUCGGAUUGGGGUCUGCAACUCGACCCCAUGAAGUCGGAGUCGCUAGUAAUCGCAGAUCAGCAACGCUGCGGUGAAUACGUUCCCGGGCCUUGUACACACCGCCCGUCACGUCACGAAAGUCGGCAACACCCGAAGCCCGUGGCCCAACCAGCUUGCUGGGGGGAGCGGUCGAAGGUGGGGCUGGCGAUUGGGACGAAGUCGUAACCUUAAGGUA
rnacentral:rRNA from 1 species